GAGUGCUCAAAGCAGGCGCGACGCCUGAAUAAUUGUGCAUGGAAUAAUGGAAUAGGACCUCGGUUCUAUUUUGUUGGUUUUCGGAACACGAGGUAAUGAUUAAGAGGGACAGACGGGGGCAUUCGUAUUGCGACGCUAGAGGUGAAAUUCUUGGACCGUCGCAAGACGAACUACUGCGAAAGCAUUUGCCAAGAAUGUUUCCAUUAAUCAAGAACGAAAGUUAGAGGUUCGAAGGCGAUCAGAUACCGCCCUAGUUCUAACCAUAAACGAUGCCAGCCAGCAAUCCGCCUGUGUUCCUCAAAUGACACGGCGGGCGGCUUCCGGGAAACCAAAGCUUUUGGGUUCCGGGGGAAGUAUGGUUGCAAAGCUGAAACUUAAAGGAAUUGACGGAAGGGCACCACCAGAAAUGGAGCCUGCGGCUUAAUUUGACUCAACACGGGGAAACUUACCCGGCCCGGACACAGGAAGGAUUGACAGAUUAAGAGCUCUUUCUUGAUUCUGUGGGUGGUGGUGCAUGGCCGUUCUUAGUUGGUGGGGCGACUUGUCUGGUUAAUUCCGAUAACGAACGAGACUCUAGCCUACUAAAUAGACGUUCCGAUCCUCUUUCGUCGGACGUUCUUCUUAGAGGGACAAGCGGCGUUUAGCCGCACGAGACAGAGCAAUAACAGGUCUGGGAUGCCCUUAGAUGUCCGGGGCCGCACGCGCGCUACAUUGAAGGAAUCAGCGUGUGCUUUCCCUGUCCGAAAGGACUGGGUAACCCGUUGAACCUCCUUCGUGCUGGGGAUUGGCGAUUGUAAUUGUCCGCCAUGAACGAGGAAUUCCCAGUAAGCACGAGUCAUCAGCUCGUGUUGAUUACGUCCCUGCCCUUUGUCCACACCGCCCGUCGCUACUACCGAUUGAAUGAUUUAGUGAGGUCUUCGGACUGGCGCUC
rnacentral:rRNA from 1 species